rnacentral:rRNA from 1 species
UACGUAGGGGGCAAGCGUUGUCCGGAUUCAUUGGGCGUAAAGAGCGUGUAGGCGGCCAGGUAGGUCGGUUGUGAAAACUGGAGGCUCAACCUUCAGAGGUCGACCGAAACCAUCUGGCUAGAGUCCGGGAGAGGAGAGUGGAAUUCCUGGUGUAGCGGUGGAAUGCGCAGAUAUCAGGAGGAACACCCGUGGCGAAAGCGGCUCUCUGGAACGGUACUGACGCUGAGACGCGAAAGCGUGGGGAGCGAACAGG